UGCAUGAAUAAUAAGUAUAAAAACAAGAUUUUGAUAUAAGUUUUAAAAGCGUAAAUUAUCUAUUUCUAAAUACGUAAUUUUAUAAUAUAAAAAUUUUACUCAAAUUUUAUAUAAUAUGUUUUAAAACAUUAUUGAAUAUUUAUUUUCAAAACAAAAUAUUUAAUAGUUGUUUUAUAUGUUUUGGAUACCAAUAUCAAAAAAUGUUAAUUUUAUGAAAAUAGUUAUUAUUUUUCUUUAAAUUUAAAGUGAACUCAAAACCCAUAUAUUAAAGCAUUUAGGCUUCAAUUGGUGACCAUGGAAUAAAUGAAAUGAAUGAAAAUAAGUGCGAACAAAUUUUCAUUUUAUGAAUUGAAUUGGAAAAAGAAAAUUGAAUAAAAAGGAAAAAUGUAACGAAAGAAUUGAACAAAUAGUAAACAUGAAUGGUACGUAAAAAGAUGAACUUAUGUUUUCAUAUUUACUUUAUAGCUCUAUGGUAUAGUUUUGAUCUAUUAACUUUGCUUCUGCUUUCGUAGUUGAUUUUCUACGCAGUAACACAAGAAGAAUACUUAACAAUUUAUAGCGUUAGUGGGACAAUUACGAGAUUAAAGAAGAUAAGUUCAAUUUUUUUCUGUUUUCCUUUUUUUGGGUAUAUUGUACAGUUAAAUUGAUAUUAGAUGACAAUGAAAUAUAUUUUGGUAGUGUCUUACGUUUCUGAAUUAUCUUUAUUUUUUAUUUUGUUUUUGUAUUUUUAAAAAUUUUCUACUUGUUCCUCAUCAAAUUUAGAGGAGGAAAUAUUUUUUCAUGAGUUCCCACAGAUAUGAGGAAAAUAGAGGAAUAUAGUGGGACCCAUUUAUUAAAAAUUUGACAAAAAAUUCAACUUAAUUGGUAGUGAUUUUAAGGAACAACAAAUUCAUCACCAUUUUUUCAUAAAGAAUGGUCACCAAUUGAAGCCUUAAUAUGAAAAAGACAAUUGAGUUUAUUGGACCCAAAUCGUAUCCAAAGCUAUGAUAGAUUUAUUAAACCUAAAAUUUAGUUUUUAUUUACUUGUUUGAAUAUUUUAGAAUCUAUAUAUUUGGAAUGCAAAAAAUCUGGUAAGCAUAUUUGGAAAAUCGUAUGAAAUAUAUAUAUUAUGAAACAUAUUUAUGUGCACAGUCGGUUACAUUGAAUGAUAUGGAUUGUUACCUAAAACUAUUUUAAAGAAUUAAACAAUUGAUUGAAGAAUAAGAAGAUGCCAUAACUAAAUAAAAAAUAUAUUAAUGAGUGGCAUGCCAUUGUAAAUAACUCAAAUGGUUCAUCCGAGCGGGUGUUUAUUUCAUCUUUUAAUAAAUCUACUAGAUCAUGACCCGCUCGACCGAGCGGAAAUCAAACUUCUUUUAUCUUUAUUUGUACUAAAUGUUAUACAUGAUUGCAAGUGUAUUAAUAUAAAAUUUUGAUAAAUACAAUGUGUACUAAUGUGUUUAAAUAAACAAUGUGUUUAAUUACUAAAUUUGAUUUUUAAAAUUUAUGAUAAUGUAAAGUAGAUUUUUUUAUAUAUUAUUUUAAAUAUAUAGUGCUAUAUUUUGUAUUUUCAAUAUUUAUAAUACAAAACUUACAUUGGGGUAUUAUUUAUAUGAAAAUAUGUGUAACAUAAUAUAUUUAUAUAUUAUAUAAACAUAUCUACAAUUUUCGCAAAGGCCAUGCACACCCGCACGGGUUUUAUUUUUAAAAUGUAUUCUGUAUUGUUUAGUUAUGUAGUAUCGAGUUUGUAUAAUUCAAUUUUCUGUUUAAAGAACAAUACCAAAACUGUCUUUCGUAUGUAAAAAUAAUAUUUUGCAAGUGCGAGUUAUGUCUUUUUAUUGUAACACAAAAUUUGAUAUAAAACUUAUGUUUUUGUACAUUACGAAGUCUAAUUUUUUAAAAUAACUAUUACAUAAUUUGAAAUUGAAUUUUAUCACUGAGGUCUAAUAUAUUUUGUCUGUAAUGGUUCAAAGCAUUUUCGAUAUAUAUUAUAUUUCAGUUUGGUUUGUUUUUAGUAUUAUUGUAUAAGUAUAAUACUAUACAAUAUUACUAUAUUCUAUACAAUAUAUAAAGCUAUGUGUUAUUUGUUUUAGAAAGUAGAUUAGGCCCAAGGUAGUUAAAAAAUAGUCAAAUCUUUAUGUAUGUGUCUAUGAUUUAUCUACCUAAUGUUAUUCGUACUAAUAAAAUCAAUAUGGCCAAUGAAGUAUACUGAUCAAUUUAAAAUGAAUUGUAUAGGGUAAUUCUAGUAAGAUUAAUAUUUUAGUAUUCUUAGUAUCUAUCUUAUUUAAAUCGACAUGUAAUAAAUGUGAAACUAUAUAUGGAAUAUGGACAAAAAAAAGAAUUAUAUUUAAGGAAAUAUAUCAAUGCAAAGUUAGACUAUUGUACGUAUUAUGUAUAAGGAAUGAGACAUUUAAUUUAAAUAUAUGAGGUCCACUUUUAAAAUCUACAUAGAAGAAGUUGUAAUGUUUCUGAUUUAAUAAGAUGGAUUUAUAUAAAGUAUGGUAUACUCCCUCCGGGUGCUGCCACAUAGGAUGUCAGGUCAGAAAUUCGAGUUCUCUGCCGCUGACACGUGUCCACCCACGCAAAACGUUCCGUUUCAUUUAAAGUGAUGAUAUUGUGUUUGGGCUUGCGAUUGUCUUCAUGACAUUAUUGUGUUUUCUAAAGCCCAAAACUAAAGGUUAAGCUAUUGAAACGCGUCGUUUUUAAUUUUUUUUUUCCAUCCCGUUCCUUUUGCGCCGCUGAGAUAUCGGAUGAAUCUCUAGGAUUUACGAACCAGUUGUUUCAUCUUCUCUCUAACGAUCCAGGAAUCCACCAGUUACAGAUUCAUUCCAUUAAAGUCGUUCUUCAAUUCAUCGUCCAAGAUCUACCUUAAAUGCAGCUUUCGCUCUUGCUCUUGAGAGUCAGUGGAACUUCUAAGUAUAAAAAGGUGUCUGUAGUUAACUCUACUACGUAUGAGGCUUAAGCCUCCGACGAGGCGAUGACAAGGAGCGAGUAGAACAUUACGCACAUUGACCGUAUCAGUUAAAUUUACUUGCUUUGAUUUAUGACGAUUCAGAAGUCCAGAGAGAAGGUGUUGACGAAUUCGAUGCAACCAUCACAAAACAGUUCUUCUUAUAUCUCUGAAAGCUGGAGUCGAACUGAAUCUAACCGCAUCUUCACACAUCUUCUUAACGGUUACCAUUUCUGUUCAAACUUGCGUUUAAAUUCUUCUUGAUUAUGAAGAGUUGAUGAUUCCUCCGUUUCUUGAAAUGCUUAUGAUCCAUCAGUGGAAGAGCAAUCGAUCAUAUGAGAAUUAAUUUCGUAGGGCAGAGAAAAUGGCAUGUGGAAGAAGCUUCAUUGUUAAAGUAAUACUAUAAAAUGCAUUCUCAUUGAGUUUCUUACACCAGGUGGAGCAUGCAAAGUGCAAAUUGUCUUACAUUGAGAACACUUCUGGCGGAGGAGUUAGAUUUUGCGUGGAGCAGCAUAUGAUUUGGGGAGGAUGUUGUUUCAACCGUGACAAGGAAGAAUCUUGAGAGCUAUGGUUUCCCUGCUUCCUGAAUUGGUUCUAAACAAGCAGAAGAACGUCAAGAGAAAACGGAACGUUAUGAUCUGGUUGGACAUGAAGCUUGUGGAAUGCAACUGGAUCGUUUGGUGCAAGCAAUUUUAUUGUAAAACAAACCAUGAGAAAAAGGUGGUCAAGGAAGGUGAUGGAAGAUCUAACUCCAUUAACGGAGCUAUAAUAGGAGAAACUUUAAAGCUUGCAUCAACAAGUCCUGCAACCAAGUUUCCCCCGUUAAUUGUUAUUUUUAAAGACAAUACUAUCAGUUUUUUUUUGAACACCAUACUAUCAGUUUUUUUGUCUUUUUUUUUGCAUUUAUGAAUUGAUCCCAAUAGUCUAAAAGCUUCCGUUCAUAUUGAUAAAGCCUUUUCUUUUGUAACUUCCAUUCACUAGAAAUAAAAAAAAGUUUCAAAUUUCUUCUUGAUUUUUCAUUUAUGUUACAGAUUAAAACAAAUCUUUGGUACAAGCAGAUGUUACUUUAAGUUAGUUUCAGCUGCGGUUAGUUUAGUGUUUAAUGUUGUUUGAAAUGUCAAUUUGAUCUCUUCCUAUUGCAAGUGGUGCAGCAUCAUCUAUAUCUACUACAUAUAUGCUAAAUAAUUAUCAUAGUCAAUUUACAUAAUAUAACUUUGUAUAUAUAUAUAUUUAAUAAACAAAGGAAAUACUUUUAUUCAACAAUAAACUAUAAUCAAUAUAGUUACAUAUAUAAUAAAAUUCUUCUUCCAAGGAUUAUAUUUUAUAAGUUAGUCAGUAAAUAUUUAUUUUUGGGACAAAAAGUCAGUUAUAUUUAUUUCAAAAUUCUAAUCAAUUAUGUUGAUAUAUAAUAAUAAUAAUAAUACCUAUAAGACAAACAUGUAUAUAUAGAAAAAUAUAAUCCUCAAAUAU